rnacentral:lncRNA from 1 species
AUCAUGUUACGUAAGGUGUCAUCAUUGGAGCUAUACUUUUGUGGCCACCUAUGUAGUCUAACCCGGGUGUUAAAACUUUGUUAUGGCAAUCAAAUGUUUGCCCAAGUGGGAGAAUGUUGGAAUAAUUAAUUAUUUCAUAUGUGGGCUUCACAUUGGAUUGCAGAUUUUACGGAUUAGAUGUAUGGCUCAUAAUGAUAUUUGUG